GCUUGUCUCAAAGAUUAAGCCAUGCAUGUCUAAGUAUAAACAAAUUUAUAGUGAAACUGCGAAUGGCUCAUUAUAUCAGUUAUAGUUUAUUUGGCGAUAAAAACUACUUGGAUAACCGUAGUAAUUCUAGAGCUAAUACAUGCAUCAAUCCCCGACUUUUGGAAGGGGUGUAUUUAUUAGAUGGAAACCAAUGCGGGGCAACCCGGAAUAUGGUGAAUCAUAAUAACUUUCGGAUCGAUCGCAAGAUCGAUGCAUCAUUCAAGUUUCUGCCCUAUCAGCUUUGGAUGGUAGGGUAUUGGCCUACCAUGGCUUUAACGGGUAACGGAGAAUUAGGGUUCGAUUCCGGAGAGGGAGCCUGAGAAACGGCUACCACAUCCAAGGAAGGCAGCAGG
rnacentral:rRNA from 1 species